GCUGGGUUGUGGCUCAGUGGUAGAAUGCUUGCCUAGCAUGUGUGAGGCCCUGGGAUCAAUUCUCAGCCCAGCA
rnacentral:tRNA from 1 species